AACAAGGAUUCCCCUAGUAACGGCGAGUGAAGAGGGAAGAGCUCAAAUUUAAAAUCUGGCGGUCUACGGCCGUCCGAGUUGUAAUCUAGAGAGGUGUUUUCCGUGCCGGACCGUGUACAAGUCCCUUGGAACAGGGCGUCAUAGAGGGUGAGAAUCCCGUCCAUGACACGGACUACCGGUGCUCUGUGAUACACCUUCGAAGAGUCGAGUUGUUUGGGAAUGCAGCUCAAAAUGGGUGGUAAAUUCCAUCUAAAGCUAAAUACAGGCGAGAGACCGAUAGCGAACAAGUACCGUGAGGGAAAGAUGAAAAGAACUUUGGAAAGAGAGUUAAACAGUACGUGAAAUUGUUGAAAGGGAAACGCUUGAAGUCAGUCGCGUCCGCCGGGACUCAGCCUUGCUUUUGCUUGGUGCACUUCCCGGUGGAUGGGCCAGCAUCGAUUUUGGACGCCGGAAAAGGGCGAGAGGAAGGUGGCAGCUUGCUGUGUUAUAGCCUCUCGUCGUACACGGUGUCUGGGAUCGAGGACCGCAGCACGCCUUUGGUCGGGGUUCGCCCACGCCACGUGCUUAGGAUGCUGGCGUAAUGGCUUUAAACGACCCGUCCUGAA
rnacentral:rRNA from 1 species